AUUGUUAGAACUGGCAGAAAACAGGCCAUCUUAAAUUGAAUUACAUUCUAGCCAAAGUAGGCUUUAUGUGUGGCUUGAGAAAUGAGAAAAAGCAUGAAGAGCAGCCUGCACUGCUCCAUCUGCCAGAGAAGGCACAGCUGCAGGCAUUCUGCUUCCUUCUCCCUCCUUCUGCAAAGAAUUCUGCUAAGGGCUGCUGAGCUCCAGGUUGGGGAAAAUUGGAGUGAAGAAAUAAGAGGGAGGAAUAAAGAAAGUUGUGUCUGAUGAAGAACAGCUGAAAUUGUAUGGCCAUCUUGCAUAAACAUAGUUACCCAGAAGCCCUGAGUGAGUUCAGCUCCCCUUGUAUAAAGCAAAAUAAUACUAAGUUAUCACAGCUGUAAUAGUUAAAAAUCAUAACGUUUGUACCCAGCUCACUCUCAUAAUGUAACACUACUAGAGUCAACAAACACUUGGACACAUCUGGAGACUUUUUGGAGAAAUGGCAGAAGACGGCAUCCUCCAAUGUCAAACCUUUAAAUUAAAGAUUUAAGGGAUGAAAUUCUAUCCCUGUGGAUAAAGACAGCAUGAAAACUAUGCACCAUUUAGGAGCUGUAUGAAGAGAGAGAAGACGUCGCUUGAAGAAUAACAAAGUUGAAUGCAUAUUAAAGCAAAUUACAUUUGA